rnacentral:lncRNA from 1 species
UUUGUACUACAUAUACAAUUUAAUUUUAUUUUUACAUUGAAUUUCCAGUAAACGUACUACGUAGCCUGCCUGGGUUAAUUUUUGUGGCAUACAUUCACCUAAACAUCACAACCACAAACUCAAGCCAUGAACGGCAGCUUCUAUCUCUAGUACAAUCUGAGAAUCAGAAUGGAUAUCCAAAUACAAGCCAUGAACCAAUGAGACGCUGCUAAUGUGUAGAUUUCCUAAUCCACAAAUCUUUACAAUUCCAUAUAUAACACCUCUUCAUCCUCACCAACUAGCAAUAAGCUCCUCCUUGUUCACCAGCACCACUUAAACAAAGCAGCUUUCAUCAAUAAGCAUGGCAACCUCAGCAAUCCAACGGUCUGCAUUCGCCGGCCAGACUGCUUUGAAGCCGCAGAAUGAGCUGGUCAGGAAGAUUGGCAGCUUGGGAGGUGGCCGCAUCACCAUGAGGCGUACCGUCAGAAGUGCUCCAGAGAGCAUAUGGUAAAUACCAGCUACUGCUACUAUAUUACUAACUCAAUUCAUAAUAAAUUCUUGCAUAUAAUUAACUUAACUAUGAUAUAACCAAAACUAAUUGAUAUAAUGAUAACUGGUUAUUCUCAUGAAAAACACAACUUCAAAACCCAAGAUUUCAUUCAAUAGCUUUCCACUUCAAUGUAAGUUGAAUUUGAAACAAGACUAUUUCAAUUUGAUAAAGCUAAUUUGCUCAUUGUAUACAAAGGAAACUUGCUUUCCUCCAUAUAUGCCUAAAUGCAUACUUUGUAGUGACAAAUUGUAUCUGUAAUUGGUUUGACAGGUACGGACCUGACCGCCCAAAGUACUUGGGCCCAUUCUCCGAGCAAACUCCAUCAUACCUGACCGGUGAAUUCCCUGGAGACUAUGGGUGGGACACUGCUGGACUUUCAGCUGACCCAGAGACAUUUGCCAAGAACCGUGAGCUCGAAGUGAUCCACAGCAGAUGGGCCAUGCUUGGUGCACUAGGCUGUGUCUUCCCUGAAAUUCUUGCAAGGAAUGGUGUCAAAUUCGGCGAGGCAGUUUGGUUCAAGGCCGGAGCCCAAAUCUUCUCCGAAGGUGGCCUUGACUAUCUUGGCAACCCAAACCUUGUCCAUGCCCAGAGCAUCCUGGCUAUCUGGGCCAGCCAAGUUGUGCUCAUGGGAUUUGUGGAAGGAUACCGAGUUGGUGGAGGUCCACUUGGUGAAGGACUAGACAAAAUUUACCCGGGAGGUUCUUUUGACCCACUUGGAUUGGCUGAUGAUCCUGAAGCAUUUGCUGAAUUGAAGGUUAAGGAGCUUAAGAACGGACGAUUGGCAAUGUUUUCUAUGUUUGGAUUCUUUGUCCAGGCCAUUGUCACCGGAAAGGGCCCAAUUGAGAACCUCUACGACCACCUUGCUGACCCAGUAGCCAACAAUGCAUGGGCUUAUGCCACUAACUUUGUACCCGGAAAGUGAAACUAUCAAAUUCUCUUCUCUCUCGGCUGUAAUAUUAAACUUGUUUGGUGACAUCCAACUUCUGUAAUCUUUACCUGUUCCCUCAAGUAAUAUAGCAAGCAGAGAUGCUUAUCUGGGCAAUAUCUUGGAUGGAUUAUCAGCAACUUUAUCAUGGAAUUAAAA